AGCGGGGUGGGGCAGCCAGGUUAGCCCGUGGGGCUCAUAACCCCAAGGUCGGUCGUUCCCCCCCGCUACCA
rnacentral:tRNA from 1 species